UACGUAGGGUGCGAGCGUUAAUCGGAAUUACUGGGCGUAAAGCGUGCGCAGGCGGUUUUGUAAGCCAGAUGUGAAAUCCCCGGGCUUAACCUGGGAAUGGCAUUUGGGGACUGCAAGGCUUGAGUUUGGCAGAGGAGACUGGAAUUCCUGGUGUAGCAGUGAAAUGCGUAGAUAUCAGGAGGAAUACCGAUGGCGAAGGCAGGUCUCUGGGCUGAAACUGACGCUCAUGCACGAAAGCGUGGGGAGCAAACAGG
rnacentral:rRNA from 1 species